GGACCCAGAAUUCACAGCGGAAGAAGAGAGAGAGAGAGAGAGAGAGGGAGAGCGAGAGACCACUCCCUCCUCUCGCCAUCAUCUUCACCAUCUUCUUCCUCAUCGUUGCGAUGAUGCUGCUGCAGCUUGUCCCUCAUCCAGCUCUGAUGAUGUCUCUCAUUGUGUUGGUCAGUGGACAAACAGACACAGACUCCAGACUGAGGGACAGAGCUUAUGUGGUUUUAGAGAAGCAGAAUUUAGUCACACUGUGCAGUGUCCUCGCUAUCCUGCUGCUGUUCAUGGUCAUCAUGGCUGUCUGUGUCUACAAGCCGCUCACUCGUCAAAGAUGAGACUGUCCUCAAACCUGGAGGAGAAUCCUGGACAACCAAAGAGCAGUGGCGUGCACAGACUUUUCAGGGGUGGAGGGGGGGGGGGCUUUAUAAUUGGAAAAAUAGUCAUAUUACAGCAGAAAAUAUCAUACAUACUUCCACAUUUAUUCCAUUGGGAGUUCCAUUGAUGGCGUAAAAGACGCUCGUAGCUGUUGAUCAACGGUCGCGUUUUGUCGCUGCUUCGAUCCGUUACUGUAGAAAUGUUUGCUUCUGUCACUAAGUGGAGAAAUGUUUUGGUGUAAUUGUCACUUCUCUUGCCAAUACAGCAACGUGCAGAAGUGGAAGGGAGGGACAUUUCAUCAUGUGAUUUCUUAACCUCUUCUUGAAUUCACUGAAGUUGUUUCUAUAUCUACUUUGUUUUAUAUUGAAACACCAACUUUUCCACCUCCCUCUGACAUAAAAACCAUAAAAGUAGGCUUAUUGAAACACACCAUAUGAACCAUACAUGAAUAGAGAUGUUUAAUAGGCCUAUAAUCAACACACAUGACUGCAGUCUCACACAAAUGCACAUUUUGGGCAUUUGUGAACCACCUGAUUUCGAAUUUCUCUGAGGUUCUCUUUCUUUUUUCUCAGCCAAGGACUUCCUGCAAGGUAACCCUCGUGUUUCCCUCGGAAUAAUUUGAUUAUAAGUUGAUUAGAUUUGCAAUUUAUAAACUAUUUCAGAGUCCAAAAUGAAAUUAAAUUGACCUACUAAUUAAUCAUUCAGUGAUUUGAUUACUAAAUGAAGCUCUCUAGGUUGAUCAUUUUUUUAAUGUUUUAAUUUUUUUUAUAAGAAAUGUGAUUUCAGCUUUUAAAAUGUGAAUGUGACAAUAAAUUGAAUAUUGUUUUGUUUGAUGACGUCGACAUUUUGACAGGUUUUUUGACAUUUUAUGGACCAAACUAAAAUAAUCAACUGUUCAAGAAAAUGAUAGAUUAAUCAAUAAUGAUUGAGUAGCAGCCCAAAUGUUUCUAUCAUGAUCAUUUUAAAGGAUGAAUCUGGAAGCUUUUCCCAGACCACCAUUGGUAGUGUUUGACAUAAAUUCUCAAUCAGACUUCCUUUUUUAUUUCCAUUUUAAAAUUACACAAUCGUUCACAGACUUUU